GGUUUGGGUUAACGUCCCGCAACGAGCGCCAACCCCUUAUUGUUUAGUUGCCAUCAUUCAGUUGGGCACUCUAGCGAGACUGCCGGUAAUAAACCGGAGGAAGGUGGGGAUGACGUCAAAUCAUCAUGCCCCUUAUGACCUGGGCUACACACGUGCUACAAUGGUUGGUACAACGAGUUGCGAGUCGGUGACGGCGAGCUAAUCUCUUAAAGCCAAUCUCAGUUCGGAUUGUAGGCUGCAACUCGCCUACAUGAAGUCGGAAUCGCUAGUAAUCGCGGAUCAGCACGCCGCGGUGAAUACGUUCCCGGGCCUU
rnacentral:rRNA from 1 species